UACAGAGGGGGCAAGCGUUGUUCGGAAUUACUGGGCGUAAAGGGCGCGUAGGCGGCCUGCUAAGUCGAACGUGAAAUCCCCGGGCUCAACCCGGGAACUGCGUCCGAUACUGGCAGGCUUGAAUCCGGGAGAGGGAUGCGGAAUUCCAGGUGUAGCGGUGAAAUGCGUAGAUAUCUGGAGGAACACCGAUGGCGAAGGCAGCCCCCUGGGCUGAGAUUGACGCUCAGGCACGAAAGCGUGGGGAGCAAACAGG
rnacentral:rRNA from 1 species